AGUUUUACGAGGUAUCAGCACAUUUUCUUUCAUUAGUGGGGAAGGCAAGAUGAAAAAUACAAAACAGCAGUAGACUUUUAAAGUUUAAAUAGACAGGUCUGAGUGCCUGAACUUGCUCUUCCAUUUUACUUUAACCCUCUAAAGAAGUAUUCUGAUCCAGUUUCACUGGUGAUCAGCAAGGGUAAGUUGAAAGU
rnacentral:other from 1 species